UACCAGCACCCCGAGUGGUCGGGACGAUUAUUGGGCCUAAAGCAUCCGUAGCCGGUUUUACAAGUCCCCCGUUAAAUCCAGCUGCUUAACAGAUGGGCUGCGGAGGAUACUAUAAGACUAGGAGGCAGGAGAGGCAAGCGGUACUCAGUGGGUAGGGGUAAAAUCCGUUGAUCCAUUGAAGACCACCAGUGGCGAAGGCGGCUUGCCAGAAUGCGCUCGACGGUGAGGGAUGAAAGCUGGGGGAGCAAGCCGG
rnacentral:rRNA from 1 species